CGCGUAGGUGGUAGUGUAAGUCUGGGGUGGAAUGCCGGGGCUUAACCCUGGAAUUGCCUUGGAAACUGCAUUACUUGAGUCAGUGAGGGGAGGGUAGAAUUCCUGGUGUAGCGGUGAAAUGCGUAGAUAUCAGGAGGAGGGCCUGUGGCGAAGGCGGCCCUCUGGUGCUGGACUGACACUGAGGCGCGAAAGCGUGGGGAGCAAACAGGAUUAGAUACCCUGGUAGUCCACGCCCUAAACGGUGGCACUAGGUGUAGGGCUCGUAAGGGUUCUGUGCCGAAGGGAAACCAUUAAGUGCCCCGCCUGGGGAGUACGGCCGCAAGGUUGAA
rnacentral:rRNA from 1 species